UACAGAGGAGCCAAGCGUUGUCCGGAAUCAUUGGGCGUAAAGCGCGUGUAGGCGGUUCGGUAAGUCCGCUGUGAAAGUCGGGGGCUCAACCCUCGGAAGCCGGUGGAUACUGUCGGGCUAGAGUACGGAAGAGGCGAGUGGAAUUCCUGGUGUAGCGGUGAAACGCGCAGAUAUCAGGAGGAACACCGGUGGCGAAGGCGGGUCUCUGGGCCGAUACUGACGCUGAGGAGCGAAAGCGUGGGGAGCGAACAGG
rnacentral:rRNA from 1 species